rnacentral:rRNA from 1 species
UCCAACUUGAGAGUUUGAUCCUGGCUCAGAGCGAACGCUGGCGGCAGGCUUAACACAUGCAAGUCGAGCGCCCCGCAAGGGGAGCGGCAGACGGGAGAGUAACACGUGGGAACGUGCCCUUUGGUCUGGAAUAACUCAGGGAAACUUGAGCUAAUGCCGGAUACGCCCUUCGGGGGAAAGAUUUAUCGCCAUUGGAGCGGCCCGCGUCUGAUUAGCUAGUUGGUGAGGUAAUGGCUCACCAAGGCGACGAUCAGUAGCUGGUCUGAGAGGAUGACCAGCCUCAUUGGGACUGAGACACGGCCCAAACUCCUACGGGAGGCAGCAGUGGGGAAUAUUGGACAAUGGGCGCAAG